UCGCGUCAAGCGCCGUAGGCAGGAGCGGGGGACCCAAGGUAAGCGCCCCACCGGGAAGUUGACGGUGGUGGCUUGGGGUGAAGCCGCGCACUCGACAGACUGCGCGGCCGGGCAACUCAACCGGCCCGAACCCGACAGCUCACCUCGCAGGCGUCGGUGAGGGGAUCG
rnacentral:sRNA from 2 species